rnacentral:tRNA from 1 species
UGGGGUGUGGGGUAACGGCAACCCGCAGGCCUUUGGAGCCUUGAGCUCCUGGUUCGAAUCCAGGCACCCCAGCAA